UACGGGGGGGGGCAAGCGUUGUUCGGAAUUAUUGGGCGUAAAGGGCUCGUAGGCGGUCUGAUAAGUCCUGUGUGAAAUCCCUUGCUUAACCAAGGAACUGCGCCGGGAUACUGUCGGACUAGAGGCCGGGAGAGGGAAGCGGAAUUCCGAGUGUAGCGGUGAAAUGCGUGAGAUAUUCGGAGGAACGACCGGUGGCGAAGGCGGCCACCUGGACG
rnacentral:rRNA from 1 species